GGCCUGGUGGUGUAUGGAGCACAACCGCGAUGAAUGAUCCGCCUAUCCUGAAGGUACGCCAGCGGUGGGACGUGGUUCGAUUCCACGCCAGGCCC